ensembl:misc_RNA Y_RNA Y RNA
GGCUGGUCUGAAGGUAGUGAGUUAUCUAAUUUGUUCACAGUCAGUUAUAGAUCAAUCUCCUUGUUCUGCUCUUUCCCCCCUUUUCACUACUGCACUUGACUAUAGUCUUAA